AACGAACGCUGGCGGCAUGCCUAACACAUGCAAGUCGAACGAGAUCUUCGGGUCUAGUGGCGCAUGGGUGCGUAACGAGUGGGAAUCUGCCCUUUGGUUCGGAAUAACAGUUGGAAACGACUGCUAAUACCGGAUGAUGACGAAAGUCCAAAGAUUUAUCGCCAGAGGAUGAGCCCGCGUAGGAUUAGCUAGUUGGUGUGGUAAAGGCGCACCAAGGCGACGAUCCUUAGCUGGUCUGAGAGGAUGAUCAGCCACACUGGGACUGAGACACGGCCCAGACUCCUACGGGAGGCAGCAGUGGGGAAUAUUGGACAAUGGGCGAAAGCCUGAUCCAGCAAUGCCGCGUGAGUGAUGAAGGCCUUAGGGUUGUAAAGCUCUUUUACCCGGGAUGAUAAUGACAGUACCGGGAGAAUAAGCUCCGGCUAACUCCGUGCCAGCCGCCGCAGUAA
rnacentral:rRNA from 1 species